GGCUCGGUGGUGUAGUUGGUUAUCACGUCAGUCUAACAUCUCGUUAGACCACUGAAGGUCCCGAGUUCAAACCUCGGCUGAGUCA
rnacentral:tRNA from 1 species